rnacentral:lncRNA from 1 species
CGGGCCGAUCCAGGGAGGCUCCCGUUGCCGCCGCGCUCCGGAAAGCCUGAGGGGCCACCGUCGGCGCCUGGCGUGGCACUCGCCCCGCACUCGUCGAAGCGCAGGCUGAGCAGCACGGCGAGCAUUGUGACCGCGAGCAAUGCCACGAGGGACACGGCGAAGGCCAGCACAAGCCGCUUGUGUACGGCGAUGUGGCGCUCCGUGGUGCGGGGUCGCACUCCCACUGAGUCUGCCCACGGGUCGGAGAGCCCCCUGCCGCCAGCCCGAAGCGCGGCGUCGUCUUCCCCCAUCGCGGCUGCAAAGGCGGCGGCGUUCGGUCCUCUGGGUGGAAUGUGCUCGCAGCAGCAGUGACGGAGGCCACAGCACGGGAGGCACCCGAGCCAUACACCCUGCAGCUGGAGAGAAAAGGAUGGCCGAGGUGGGAGAGACUAGAGUGAACCAGCAGGAGGAAGUCCUAGGGCCGCGAAGCUACGACGGAGAUCCGUCCUGGAAAAGCCUUCUCCACCCUGGGCACUUUAAGCGGCGGUGGCGGCAAACGGCAGGAGGUUGCAGACCCGACAGCGAGCCUCCCUCAUUCCAGUCUUGCUCUGCCCUCCGGAGAUGACAAGUGAGAAAGAAGUGUCCGGCCGGGCCAUCCCCUUCAGUUACCAAGAAUAACUGUAGAA